rnacentral:rRNA from 1 species
UACGUAGGGACCGAGCGUUGUCCGGAAUCAUUGGGCGUAAAGAGCGCGUAGGCGGCUUAUCAAGUCGGGGGUGAAAGCCCGUGGCUCAACCACGGAAUGGCCUUCGAUACUGGUAGGCUUGAGACCGGAAGAGGACAGCGGAACUGCGAGUGUAGAGGUGAAAUUCGUAGAUAUUCGCAAGAACACCAGUGGCGAAGGCGGCUGUCUGGUCCGGUUCUGACGCUGAGGCGCGAAAGCGUGGGGAGCAAACAGG